CGCAGCCGCGGUAAUUCCAGCUCCAAUAGCGUAUAUUAAAGUUGUUGCAGUUAAAAAGUUCGUAGUUGAAUUUCGGGGUUAGCAAGUUGGUCGUGCCUUUGGUAUGCACUGGCUUUGCUGAUUCCUCCUUCUUGAAGAACUGUGAUGCUAUUAAUUUGGUGUUGCAGGGAAACAGGACUUGUUACUUUGAAAAAAUUAGAGUGUUUAAAGCAGGCUAACGCUUGAAUACAUUAGCAUGGAAUAAUGAAAUAGGACGUUUGAUCCUAUUUUGUUGGUUUCUAGGAUUGACGUAAUGAUUAAUAGGGAUAGUUGGGGGCAUUAGUAUUCAAUUGUCAGAGGUGAAAUUCUUGGAUUUAUUGAAGACUAACUACUGCGAAAGCAUUUGCCAAGGAUGUUUUCAUUAAUCAAGAACGAAAGUUAGGGGAUCGAAGACGAUCAGAUACCGUCGUAGUCUUAACCAUAAACUAUGCCGACUAGGGAUCGGAUGAUGUUAAUUUUUAAUGACUCAUUCGGCGCCUUA
rnacentral:rRNA from 1 species